CGUUUGGUGUAUCUCCUGAGUAUGUAUUUCUCUGGAACGCUUUCAGCCUUAAUUGUCUGCAUCAUGCACAGGACAUGCACGCAGAAAAGACCUGUAUUUGUUUUUGGAAGAGGUGCAUGUUUUUUGUCAUUUCAUUCGAACAAAAACUUUGCAAAAAAAGUAGUACAGUAUGUAACAUCUUUUUUGUAGUCCUCACCUGUGUGGUCCCAUAGCCUGCACUCGCACUCAUAUGUUUCUCCCACGGGGUCUGCAACCACCUGGAACGCGUGCUGAGCCCACACAGACAGUUUUUGCGGGUGGUUGUAGCGCACUAGGUACUUUGUGGGCUCUUCCGUCUCU
rnacentral:rRNA from 1 species